rnacentral:tRNA from 1 species
GGGGGAAUUCCCGAGCGGUCAAAGGGGGCAGACUGUAAAUCUGUUGCCACAGGCUUCGGUGGUUCGAAUCCACCUUCCCCCACCA